rnacentral:rRNA from 1 species
GACGAACGCUGGCGGCGUGCUUAACACAUGCAAGUCGAACGAAGAGCGACGGAAGCUUGCUUCUAUCAAUCUUAGUGGCGAACGGGUGAGUAACGCGUAAUCAACCUGCCCUUCAGAGGGGGACAACAGUUGGAAACGACUGCUAAUACCGCAUACGCUCUAACCUCGGCAUUGAGGAUAGAUGAAAGGUGGCCUCUACAUGUAAGCUAUCACUGAAGGAGGGGAUUGCGUCUGAUUAGCUAGUUGGAGGGGUAACGGCCCACCAAGGCGAUGAUCAGUAGCCGGUCUGAGAGGAUGAACGGCCACAUUGGGACUGAGACACGGCCCAGACUCCUACGGGAGGCAGCAGUGGGGAAUCUUCCGCAAUGGACGAAAGUCUGACGGAGCAACGCCGCGUGAGUGAUGACGGCCUUCGGGUUGUAAAGCUCUGUUAAUCGGGACGAAAGGCCUUCUUGCGAAUAGUGAGAAGGAUUGACGGUACCGGAAUAGAAAGCCACGGCUAACUACGUG